rnacentral:tRNA from 1 species
GCCAGUGACCAGCACGUUCGCUCUGUACAGACAGGGCCUCCGGAGCCGUGUGCGCAGGUUCGAAUCCUGCCGGGGGCA